rnacentral:rRNA from 1 species
UACGUAGGUCGCAAGCGUUAUCCGGAAUUAUUGGGCGUAAAGCGUCCGCAGGUGGCGAGUUAAGUUGGAUGUUAAAUAUCUUGGCCCAACCAAGAUGCCGCAUCCAAAACUGGCUUGCUCGAGAAGUGCAGAGGCAAGUGGAAUUCUGUGUGUAGGGGUAAAAUCCGUUGAUACACAGAGGAACACCAAAAGCGAAGGCAGCUUGCUGGGCACUUUCUGACACUCAUGGACGAAAGCGUGGGUAGCAAACAGG